CCGCAAGCGGGUGGAGCAUGUGGUUUAAUUCGAAGCAACGCGAAGAACCUUACCAGGUCUUGACAUCCUCUGACAACUCUAGAGAUAGAGCGUUCCCCUUCGGGGGACAGAGUGACAGGUGGUGCAUGGUUGUCGUCAGCUCGUGUCGUGAGAUGUUGGGUUAAGUCCCGCAACGAGCGCAACCCUUGAUCUUAGUUGCCAGCAUUUAGUUGGGCACUCUAAGGUGACUGCCGGUGACAAACCGGAGGAAGGUGGGGAUGACGUCAAAUCAUCAUGCCCCUUAUGACCUGGGCUACACACGUGCUACAAUGGAUGGUACAAAGGGCUGCAAGACCGCGAGGUCAAGCCAAUCCCAUAAAACCAUUCUCAGUUCGGAUUGUAGGCUGCAACUCGCCUACAUGAAGCUGGAAUCGCUAGUAAUCGCGGAUCAGCAUGCCGCGGUGAAUACGUUCCCGGGCCUUGUACACACCGCCCGUAAA
rnacentral:rRNA from 1 species